GCAAACUCCAAACUCCAAUUGAAUUAUAAACCCCAUGUAUUUGCUGCAUAACACAGAUGUUGCUGUAACUUAUAAUUUAAUUACCAUUCAAACAAGGAAAUUUUCCAAUGUUCAAGCAAACAACACAGAAAAAUAAGCCAACUUAAUGCUGGAUACAAUGUGCUUAAGUAAACUAACAAAACUGAUUUGGGGGAAAAACAAGAACAAUCAUUCCCUCCACAUGUCUGCAAAUUCAUCAGGCUCCAAAGGAUUUGACAUCUCAUGCAUUUUCCUCCUCUUCUUGGCCUUGACUUUCGUCGCAUACUUCCCAGCCUUCUGUCUUUUCUCCAAUGCUCGAAUCUGGUUAGGUGAUAUGUAUAAUGGAUUCUCAUAGAGUGUUGGGCCUCCAAAGCUGCCACCAAAAAUCUUUAUAGGAUUCAAACAAAAUCGUGGUCCCACCUCAACAAGCGUCAUCUUAUCGAGGCCUCCUCGAGCCACUUUAUCUGAUUCAUUAUGAGGAACAGAUAUCAUAUAUCAAAAGCAUCCAUGAAAAGUUGAAGAAAAUUGUUUGUAUGAUCAGAACAUCAGCAAUUAUGAGUAGAAUGGCCCUACUCAUAAGUCCUAAGUAAGGAAGUGAAUAGCAUGGCUCCAGUAGAUCAUCAGCAAUUAUGUGUAGCAUAGCUGUCUUAAGGAAUAAAACAAGAACACAGCCUUUUUCAACAGUAUCCAUUUCAUAAAGAUGAACAACACCUUUAAGAGGACAAGAUUUGCACGUUAUUUUUGGGCAUCACAUCUGAAUGAAUAACAGAAUCCCUCAAGAGUAUUUGACAAUAUUAUCUACAACAUUGGACAGCAACUGCCGGCCACUCAUAUCCAAGUGGUAUAUCCUUUCCCCUUCCAUAGCAGGUAAUAUAUUUGGUGCAUACAAUGGUACAAAAAUAUAAAGGAAAGAAAAAAAAUAAAUAAAUAAAAAAGGAGGAAGAAGAAGAAUAAAGAGCCACUAACAGAGUCCGCCUUUUUUAUUGGCUACAGAACCUACAGUAGAGACCUUAGCUAGAUGGAUCCAAUCAAAUAAACUAAAAAUCUUAUAUACAAAAAGAUUGAUUCAGGACACGUACAUUUCCAAGGAGACUAAAAAGGAAUCAAAUUUGGUGCAACUGAUUAAUCAAAAUCCUUAUCAAGAAGGUCUUUUUACAGAUACGGGAGUUCCAGACAGGGGAACUCAAUAGCGCAAUACACGGUACUCCAAAAGAUUCUAUAGUACUACUUCAACUGAUUCUGCAAUACUCCAUAAGCUAGACAAAUUUAUUUAAACAUUCAAUACAAAAUUAUAAAUCUUCAGUUCAAAUAUGAUUUACUCAAAUGCAACAUGUUUCCGCCUACAAGUCCGCAGCAGAAUUCAUACACCCUACGAAGUAAGAUUCCAGCUCAACAACCUUCAAGGAUUAGUAUGGGAAGGCACUUAUUUAUAAUCAUCAUUAUAUAAGAUUAAAACUCAAUGUAGACUAUAAAAACUAUGCCUCAGCCCAUGGCAAAAGGAGGUAUUAAUUUAAGGGAUAUAUCGCUAGCUUAAUGGAUUCAAGAAUGUAUGAAGAAAAGCAGGCUAAAAAACUCAAUGCCUAGUUUACCUGGUAAUUACGGAACCAGAUAUGAUCAUCAACAAUAGAGAAAACAAAGACAUGGUCAUGAUAAGGCUUAGAUUUCCGGUGCUCCUUUGGCGUGCCAAAUAUCUGCAUUAACAUUUCCUUCAAGAGUUUCCAGUGGGCAUCUUUAUCAAAAUUAGCAGAAAAAGUCAAGAUAGGUCGCGACCCUUUUAAAUGAUUUCCAGUAAGCUUUAGUUCUUCCAUCGUGUGCACAGCAUUAACUAAAAAUUUCACUGAUGGACCACCAGGGCACUUGGCCAUCCAUAAAUACAGAUCUUUAUGUUUCCUGCACUCGAAGAAUAAGCAAGAAGAGCAGCUCUUCAGCUCAACAAGCUCAUUAAGAGCCAUGCCUUUACUACUUUUGGAUUCAACCUUAUUAUCCUUCUUACAAUGAGGUAAGAGAGACACCACAUUCAACAUCAAGUGCCGAUAUCUGCAAUUGAUGCGACGAGAGCAAGUGACCAAAACCUUCUCUUUGCUCCUAAAACCAUGAGGCUCAGUUUCUUUCACUUCAGCUUCAUCUUUCCAUCCAAGGAGUGUGCGCUGAGGCCGCUCUAGAGCACUUUCUUCUUUCUUUGGUCCCGAAACCUCAGUUUCACUAUGCUUUCGCUUCUUCCCCAUGCGUAUGCUAAGUGAUAUCUGUUUGCUGCGUCUAGAAGGGAAGAGAGCGACAGAGAGGGGUUUUCCGCGGCGGGUUGCUUGCAGAGGCUGUGUGAAUUAGGGCGCCAUUCCAAUAGA
rnacentral:misc_RNA from 1 species